GAUGAACGCUAGCUACAGGCUUAACACAUGCAAGUCGAGGGGCAUCAGGGAUUUAGCUUGCUAAAUUCGCUGGCGACCGGCGCACGGGUGCGUAGCGCGUAUCCAACUUUCCCGUUACUCUCGGAUAGCCUUCCGAAAGGGAGAUUAAUACGAGAUGGUGUUUUAAUUCCGCAUGUUAUUAAAACUAAAGAUUUAUCGGUAACGGAUAGGGAUGCGUGACAUUAGAUAGUUGGCGGGGUAACGGCCCACCAAGUCCACGAUGUCUAGGGGUUCUGAGAGGAAGGUCCCCCACACUGGAACUGAGACACGGUCCAG
rnacentral:rRNA from 1 species